AUUUAUCCAGCCCUAACCUCAGUUCUGUCCUCUAUCCUCACAUGUCCAACUUUCUUAUGUGGAAAGGAAACAAGACUGACAGUUUGUGGGGGAAGGGGCCAACUGGGAGUGGCAGUUGGGUCUUGUGACUAGCACUUCCUUCCUGCCAGGAGAGGUCUUGCAUACUGGGGUUGGAGGAGAGUGGAGCUUUUUCAGCCCAGUCUGGAGUAGCAUGCUCUUCUUGGUUCAGCCCAAAGACACAGGCUUCUAAAGAAUUGCAUUAUAAAAUCGUGGAUGUAGAACUGGAAGAUACUUCGUUAGACCUUAUCAACUCUGACAUCCAGAUUUAAGAGAAGGGGAAGAAGUUUAAAGAAAAAUGAGACAUUGACUAAGAAAGGUCCUUACUUCCUGCUGAGUUGGUUUAUCAAGGUGUGGCCACUGUGGUUGCUGAAGCUUCUUAGAGUCACAGAUGAGAACUGGGUGGCAGUUAGAUACCAAAGGAUGAUGAGAAGCAUUGAAAAGGUUUCAGCAAGCCCUCACAUUACAGGUAUUCAUCUUUUUUGGACAUCCAAAUUUAAGAAAGGAUUACAAAUAAAGAAGACAGAAUUUCAUUCCUUCA
rnacentral:lncRNA from 1 species